rnacentral:rRNA from 1 species
UACGAAGGGGGCUAGCGUUGCUCGGAAUCACUGGGCGUAAAGCGCACGUAGGCGGCUUUUUAAGUCAGGGGUGAAAUCCUGGAGCUCAACUCCAGAACUGCCUUUGAUACUGGGAAGCUCGAGUCCGGGAGAGGUGAGUGGAACUCCGAGUGUAGAGGUGAAAUUCGCAGAUAUUCGGAAGAACACCAGUGGCGAAGGCGGCUCACUGGCACGGUACUGACGCUGAGGUGCGAAAGCGUGGGGAGCGAACAGG